UUUUGGGGAAAUGAGGGAUUGACAAUAUCCUUAGGCUGGGAAGGUUUUUGGGGAAAUGAGGGAUUGACAAUAUCCUUAGGCUGGGAAGGUUUUUGGGGAAUGAGGGAUUGACAAUAUCCCUCAGGAUGGGAAGGUUUUUGGGAAAUGAGGGGUUGACAAUAUCCCUAGGCUGGGAAGUUUUUGGGAAAUGAGGGAUUGACAAUAUCCCUCAGGCUGGGAAGGUUUUUGGGAAAUGAGGGGUUGACAAUAUCCCUAGGCUGGGAAGGUUUUUGGGAAAUUAAGGGUUGACAAUAUCCCUCAGGAUGGGAAGGUUUUUGGGGAAUGAGGGAUUGACAAUAUCCCUCAGGAUGGGAAGGUUUUUGGGUAAGGAGGGAUUGCCAAUAUCCCUCAGGCUGGGAAGGUUUUUGGGGAAUGAGGGGUUGACAAUACCCCCAGCCCGACUGUCCCUGGGUGGGGAUGGGCGGCUGUGUCUCCCCCAGCCCCCCGCACCCACCCCAGGCCAUGAGGGUGAGAUGCAGAGAGGGAUUUUCUUCACUUCAAAUGGGUGUUCAGAGUGAGAUUUUCAUGCUGGUGCUGGCCCAGCUCCUCCUUCUCCAGGCAGGAACCCACCACAGAGCCGCAGGAGCAUCCCCAAACCCUCUCCUGGGACCAUGCUGGGAUGUCCCCAUGGGCUCCUGGCAUCUCCGAGGCUGGGAGGUGAAGCAGCCCCACCUUGGGCCAUGACUCCCCUCCUCCCCACGGCUCUUUCCAAGCAUUUGCAGGCAAAUCUGAUGCUGGAGAAGUGGGGAUCGUGGUGGCCCAGCUGCUGCUCCCUCCUCCUCCAUUCUCCCCCAUCCCCUUUGCUCCCCGUAGCUCAGUUAUGCAGGUAGGUGUUAGCAAACCUGGGGUGUCUGCAAAAACUUUUGUAAAAUAGAAUAAACCCUUGAAAUGAUGCACUAAAAGGAAAAAAAAAAAAAAUCAUAAAUGCCCCUUUCCCCUCAGCUUCUCUGUGUGAUGGUUCCUUGGAUGUCCCCGCUCAGCCCCACAGGCAGCUCUGCAUCCUCCCCCCAGGCUGCUGCACAGGUAGAAACAAACCAGGACGUGCACUUCCCCCGAGGAGUUUUAUUUAUUGUUUUGAGAAGCAAUUUAAAAGGGAAAAACAACAAAAAAAAAGAGAAACUGUAUCUAUAAUAUAUAUAUAUAUAUAUAUAUAUAUUUUUAACCUCUUUUUUUUUUUUCCUGAUGCUCCUCCACCCGUGUGUGUGGGUGUGUGUGUGUGUGCGAGUCAAGGGAUUUGGUGGCCAGGGCUGGCAGCUCGGGGCAGCCGUGGGGCAGCCGUGGGGCAGCUGUGGGGCAGCUGUGGGGCAGUUUUGGGGCAGUUUUGGGGCAGUUGUGGGGCAGCUGCCCCCGUCCCCAGCCGGAGCACAGGGACCAGGGCUCCCUCCCAUCCCAGCUCUCAGUGCCCAGCAGCAGCAGUGCGAGGGGAGGGAGGCUUUAUGUGGAGUUUGUAAUAUUUUAACCGGGAUUUUUGCCUAAUUCCAUCUUUCUCUGAAGUGUUUGCAACCCUCGGGCUCUGGCCUGACCGAGAACCUCCCGCGCCCUGGGGAUGUCACCCCCACUCCCUGUCCCCGUUCCCUCCCUACUUCGCUCCCUUGACAAUCAGUGGCUCCUUCCCAGGGACUGCAGCACGUGGUUGAGACGUCUAUUUCGUUUUUUCAAUAUUCCUUUUUUUGUGCUGUAUGGUGAUGCGUUAUUGUAUAUUCCACAAUAAGACAAAAAAAAAUAUAUAAAAAAAAUGAUAAUAAUAAUAAUUACCAUGAGAAAUUCUUAUGAGUUUUGUUUGGAAACUCUUUCACUAUAUUUGUUGUAAAGAGGUUUACUAUUAAAAAGAAAAAAAAAAA
rnacentral:lncRNA from 1 species